AAACUUUCAACAACGGAUCUCUUGGUUCUGGCAUCGAUGAAGAACGCAGCGAAAUGCGAUAAGUAGUGUGAAUUGCAGAAUUCAGUGAAUCAUCGAAUCUUUGAACGCACAUUGCGCCCUUGGUAUCCCGA
rnacentral:rRNA from 1 species